rnacentral:rRNA from 1 species
UACGUAGGGGGCAAGCGUUGUCCGGAUUUAUUGGGCGUAAAGAGCGUGUAGGCGGCCAGGUAGGUCUGCUGUGAAAACUCGAGGCUCAACCUCGAGACGUCGGCGGAAACCAUCUGGCUAGAGUCCGGAAGAGGAGAGUGGAAUUCCUGGUGUAGCGGUGAAAUGCGCAGAUAUCAGGAAGAACACCCGUGGCGAAGGCGGGUCUCUGGGCCGAAAUUGACGCUGAGGAGCGAAAGCGUGGGGAGCGAACAGG